GCCCCCGUAGCUUAAAACAAAGCACUGGUUUUGUAAACCAAAGACUGAAACUGACACCUUCCCGGGGCU
rnacentral:tRNA from 1 species